rnacentral:rRNA from 1 species
CCUACGGGGGGCAGCAGUAGGGAAUCUUCCACAAUGGGCGAAAGCCUGAUGGAGCAACGCCGCGUGGGUGAAGAAGGUCUUCGGUUCGUAAAACCCUGUUGUUAGAGAAGAAAGUGCGUGAGAGUAACUGUUCACGUUUCGACGGUAUCUAACCAGAAAGCCACGGCUAACUACGUGCCAGCAGCCGCGGUAAUACGUAGGUGGCAAGCGUUAUCCGGAUUUAUUGGGCGUAAAGGGCGUGUAGGCGGGCCUGCAAGUCAGAAGUGAAAUCUGGGGGCUUAACCCCCAAACUGCUUUUGAAACUG